AACUGGGUUUCAAAUCUCGUCGUCUCACUCACUUUCUUGACUCUCAUAGAGGCUAUUGGCACUUCAGGGACAUUCCUCUUGUUUGCAGGCUGUUCACUCAUUGGACUUGUGGCCAUCUUCUUCCUCGUACUUGAAACCAAAGGACUGCAAUUCGAGGAGGUCGAAAAGAUGCUGGAAAAAGGAUACAAACCAACCCAGCUUGUUGUUUAGCUGCAACAGAAACACCAAACAGCAGUCAGCCGUCCAAGGUGGUCGAAAGGGUAAAUCUCAGAGUUCACGACCCAUGGCAGUGUCCCCAUCCCAGGAGCGUAGGAUAUGAUGAACAAUCCAAGGAGCAAGACUGCAAAGAUCCCAUAUUUGCUGGGGCUGCCUUCUGUGUACCAUGAUCGCCCUUCUGACUGGCACAAGUGUUUCACUUCAUCCAUCACAGAUAAACAGGCUCCUGGAUUAUACUGUUGUUAAGAUCAGAAUCCAGAAAUGAAGGCAACAGUGGUGAGAGGUGGCAUGCUGAUGCACACACGAGUAGCAGCUCCAAGAUGACGGUUGAUUAUUUGAUCCAGGUGUGAAUAAGAAAUUGGAGCAGGUUGAAUUGAGUCCAAAUUGUUGGGAUUGGGAGAGGCUCACUGGCGGGGAAUGUUGAGAGGUGAGAUAAAGGAGGCCAGAUAAGAGAGUCAAACAGCUUAUGAUCCCGAACAUGGAGAUGAUCAUCAGCCUCCUCCUCCCAUACCUGUCUACAAGCUGCAUAGUGUAGGAUUGAUGAAUGACCAUACCCAUCUGGGAGACUCAGGAAGGGAGAGCAUCAACACAAAUUGAACUAAAGCUGGCAAUCCGGCUGCUCCAAGCAUCCAACGCCAGGUGCCAAUGUAUUAAGGGAUGGAUAUGGAUAUCAGUUGAGUAUGAGUAUGCAAAGAAAGGAUAUGGCUAAUUACCCUGGUGAAUGCUAAGUUAAUGUGAGAAAGACAAAACCUGUCCCGACAAGCCAUUAAUGCUAACCAGAGCACCUCUGAGAUAUAAAGGGGGGAAGUGUUGGACACAACAUCAGCUAUAAGAAUCCACCUUUUUCUUCCAUACUUAUCGCUCAUCCACCCCCCAGUGCAGAUCCCACAAUCACAAUUCUUUCCUUCACAUCAUCAAAUUAAAGGAUAAGAUCAGAAUAUGUUAACAGGAUCGAACAUAUAUAUUAAUCAUGAUCAGUACUACGUUAGUUUACUUGCCUGAAGCCAUGUUUGGUCCAGGACAGUUUUGAAAUCUUCCUUGAUAUACAACAGAGCUCCAGAAAUAACACCUUUUACAUAUAUAGCAUCUUCAUUACUAGUCCGA